rnacentral:rRNA from 1 species
UACGAAAAAGGCGAGCGUUGUUCGGAAUCACUGGGCGUAAAGAGCGCGUAGACGGCCCUCCUUGUCGCGUGUGAAAGCCCCGGGCUCAACCUGGGAACGGCGCGCGAGACGGAAGGGCUGGAGUUCGGAAGAGGAGCGUGGAAUUCCCAAUGUAGAGGUGAAGUUCGUAGAUAUUGGGAAGAACACCGAUGGCGAAGGCGGCGCUCUGGACCGAGACUGACGCUGAGGCGCGAAAGCGUGGGGAGCAAACAGG